AAUAUUCAAAACUUCGGGCAUUCCUGAAACGGCAAGCACAUGCCUAUAAGCCAAAAAAAUCCAAGAUUUUAACUAAAGAAGAAGUAAACAAAUUUAUUCAGGAAGCUCCAGAUAAGGAAUAUUUAAUGAUUAAGGUAGCUGUAAUAUUUGGAAUUUCCGGAGCUUGCAGAAUGGACGAGCUGGUUAAAAUGACUGUACAAGAUAUACAAGACCUACUAUCUAAACUUUUAGUUACCAUACCGGAUUCAAAAACCAAUACAUCAAGAUCAUUUAUAGUAAACGAAAUGUACUUAAAUCUAUACCGCAAUACCAAAAUGAAAAAGUAGUAAGAAUUCACCAAUUUAGAAACAUGCCUAAAAUAGUGGCCAGUUGUUUGAAUUUGCCAAAUUCGAAAGAAUAUACCGACCACUAUUUUCGUCGGUCUUCUGUCACAAUGCUUGUUGAUUUUGGUGGAGAUAUUAUUAGUUUAAAGAGACUGGGUGGAUGGAAAUCAACAAACGUCGCUGAAGGAUAUAUAAAAGAGUCUCUUACUAAUAAGGAAGAAGUGUCAAAUAAAAUUUUCACAGCAGAAAAAAAUCAAGAAAGUAAAUCUAAUAUUUCUAAUACUGCAGUAACGCCCAAUAUUAGUUAUUAUCAUACAAAUAAAAUUAUUAGUUUGGAAAAUAUUAAAUAAAAUAAUGCUAUUAGUUCCCAAGUUCUUCCAGUUUUCAAUACUUGUACUAAUUAUCAAAUAACAGUAAAUAUAACAAAUAAUAAGUAAUAAUUUUAAAAUAUAAU